AGGAACUUUCCCUAGGAGGGAGGUUUCAUAAGCAGAAGAAAUUUCACAGCAAGAGGUGGUGGCACCAGCACGCAAGAGCAUGUGACAGCUCUAUCGUGAGACAUAGGCCAUGCUCAAUUGCAACAGUAGGAAGAUGACAACACAGGCUCAGAGGGAAAUUAGGAAGUUCUCAGUAAGCUAGAUGUGGGGGAAAGGUAGACACUCUUCAAAUAAGGCUUGCUGCCUGGGUCCACUACCACUGCAUGUUUCUGUGUGAGAAGACAAGACUUUCUCAAAUGCCAGGAUCUGAGAGAGGCGACAAUAUGCACAGUUAUUAAGCUGCGGGAAAACACCUGCAGGUGUAAACCAUGUCAAGUGUUUAGAACAGUGCCUGCACACAAGCCAUGACCGAAAAAUUCUUUAGGAUGGGGCAGGAAGUGCCGGGAAGGUGAAUCUGUAUAUACAAAGAGGUUUCUAAAUGAUCCACUCACCUCCUCUCCAACCACCAUUAAGAACUGCUCUCAGUGGUUUACAAUAUGAAGGAGGCAGACGAGAUAAAUAAAUGAUUACACCCUCCAGGUGAAAUACUAAUCGGGUUCAACUUAUAGCCACGCUCUGGUGCCCUCAAGAAGUUUGUUUAGAGGGCAAAAGUAGAAGAAGAGCAGCAGCUGCGGGGGCCUCAUGUGAACUUGGACAAGGGACAUCUCUGCACCACGCUAUUCAGAAAGAAGCCCAGAGGAGUCUUCCAGAUGUGCUGACCCUGGGCUUCUGCACCACUGCAACACCUGUAUGGACUCAUUUCCCGGAUUCUGUUGUCCUGUGGCUGCAUCCUGUCCUCACCUUGAAGCGCUCAUGGACCGUGGCAGGGAGAAAUAUUAAUGCGUCGAGCAUGUUGGAAGGCACAAAGGGAAAUGAGCCGGCAUCUUCAUUGCACCACUUUAAGGAAUGA
rnacentral:lncRNA from 1 species